AACGAACGCUGGCGGCAUGCCUAACACAUGCAAGUCGAACGAGACAUUCGGGCCUAGUGCCGCACGGGUCCGUAACGCGUGGGAACAUGCCUAUAGGUUCGGCAUAACUUCCGGAAUGAGGUGCUAAUACCGGCUCUUGUCUCCGGUCCAUAGGUUUAUCGCCUUUGGAUGGGCUUGCGUUGGAUUAGCUAGUUGGUAGCGUAAAACGCUACCACUGCGACGAUGCAUAAAUGGUUUGAGAGGAUGAUCAGCCACACUGGGACUGAGACACGGCCCAGACUCCUACGGGAGGCAGCAGUGGGGAAUAUUGGACAAUGGGCGAAAGCCUGAACCAGCAAUGCCGCGUAAGUGAUGAAGGCCGUAGGGUUGUAAAGCUCUUUUACCCGGGAUGAUAAUGACAGUACCGGGAGAAUAAGCUCCGGCUAACUCCGUG
rnacentral:rRNA from 1 species